rnacentral:misc_RNA from 1 species
GCGAAAUCUUAACCGUCUAUCUCAUCUGAACUUGUGAUGUCUGCAAUGGGACCUAUAGAUGGACGAUCGAGAUCUGCAUGUUCAAGAAUAUGUGCAUGUGCACGGCCUUUGUUGUACUAGCCAUUGGGCUUUUGAUUCGUAGGCUGAGGCUCACUGAUCAUAUUAGUUAUGGACCUGGUGUCGUAUAAUCUGUGGGUUUGGAUUUCAUUGUGGGAUGGAG